rnacentral:rRNA from 1 species
GAUGAACGCUGGCGGCGUGCCUAACACAUGCAAGUCGAGCGAACGGACGAGAAGCUUGCUGCUCUGAUGUUAGCGGCGGACGGGUGAGUAACACGUGGACAACCUACCUAUUAGACUGGGAUAACUUCGGGAAACCGGAGCUAAUACCGGAUAAUAUUUUGAACCGCAUGGUUCAAAAGUGAAAGACGGUCUUGCUGUCACUUAUAGACGGAUCCGCGCUGCAUUAGCUAGUUGGGUAGGUAACGGCUUAGCAAGGCAACGAUGCGUAGCCGACCUGAGAGGGUGAUCGGCCACACUGGAACUGAGACACGGUCCAGACUCCUACGGGAGGCAGCAGUAGGGAAUCUUCCGCAAUGGGCGAAAGCCUGACGGAGCAACGCCGCGUGAGUGAUGAAGGUCUUCGGAUCGUAAAACUCUGUUAUUAGGGAAGAACAUAUGUGUAAGUAACUGUGCACAUCUUGACGGUACCUUAUCAGAAAGCCACGGCUAACUACGUG